rnacentral:rRNA from 1 species
AUGGAGCCGACCUUGAAAUACCACCCUUUAAUGUUUGAUGUUCUAACGUUGACCCGUAAUCCGGGUUGCGGACAGUGUCUGGUGGGUAGUUUGACUGGGGCGGUCUCCUCCUAAAGAGUAACGGAGGAGCACGAAGGUUGGCUAAUCCUGGUCGGACAUCAGGAGGUUAGUGCAAUGGCAUAAGCCAGCUUGACUGCGAGCGUGACGGCGCGAGCAGGUGCGAAAGCAGGUCAUAGUGAUCCGGUGGUUCUGAAUGGAAGGGCCAUCGCUCAACGGAUAAAAGGUACUCCGGGGAUAACAGGCUGAUACCGCCCAAGAGUUCAUAUCGACGGCGGUGUUUGGCACCUCGAUGUCGGCUCAUCACAUCCUGGGGCUGAAGUAGGUCCCAAGGGUAUGGCUGUUCGCCAUUUAAAGUGGUACGCGAGCUGGGUUUAGAACGUCGUGAGACAGUUCGGUCCCUAUCUGCCGUGGGCGCUGGAGAACUGAGGGGGGCUGCUCCUAGUACGAGAGGACCGGAGUGGACGCAUCACUGGUGUUCGGGUUGUCAUGCCAAUGGCACUGCCCGGUAGCUAAAUGCGGAAGAGAUAAGUGCUGAAAGCAUCUAAGCACGAAACUUGCCCCGAGAUGAGUUCUCCCUGACUCCUUGAGAGUCCUGAAGGAACGUUGAAGACGACGACGUUGAUAGGCCGGGUGUGUA